UCGCUCACGAAGUGGUUGUGAUGUGUUCUUUUAUUCAUAUCACAGCCAGCUUUGAUGAGCGAUA
rnacentral:pre_miRNA from 1 species